GGGCGGCUAGCUCAGUUGGUUAGAGCGCUAUCCUCACACGGUAGAGGUCCCCAGUUCGAGCCUGGGGCCGCCCACCC
rnacentral:tRNA from 1 species